CCCGUCUCCAUGGGAACGAUCUGAGCGUCUACUCCGCGUCCUGGGGCGUCGGUUUCGGUCCCGCCCGGCUGCGGCCGUUGUUUGCUGGGACAGUCCUUGGGCCGGUCUCCGUCCCUGUCCAGAGGCUCCGUACGUGAGGCGGACUCUCGGGAGCACCGAGCCGGGCGCGGAUAAGGGCGAGGACAGCUGUUGCAGGAACGGGGGCAGAAAAGGAGGACCAGGGGCCGAGAAGCCGCUCUGGCUACGAAAUCUCAGACACCGUUGUAAAUGGGUCCUUCACAGCCGCCCGCCCCACGUUAAAACUGAAGAAGAGGUGCAAGGAGGCGGAAGCAGCUUGGGCCUCGGGACCGAGGGUCCUGUGAUCAGCAAGGGAGGACCAGAGAGGCUCAUGCCUCCGUUUUACAGCUCAGCCUUCUCGACCCUCCACCCUUCCCCAAAAAAGGAGCACAAAGGAGCAAGCAGGGGUCACGCCUUUCCUCACAGUCUGACCCGGUUACGUGAGGCAGCCCGAGGUAACCAGAUCCACGUCUACGAAGAGGAGAAAUAGAACCUACCGUGGCGGGUUGUUAAGAAGAUUCGCUAAGUUCAUUCAUUUGAAAAACUCAUCACAGAGCUUGACAAACAGGCCUAACCAUUGGCUGCGAUUAUGUUAUCAUCACAGGGAGCAAGAACCUUGGCCGCCGUCUCGGUUUCCCGAAUACUUACUGGUCUCUAGUUUUAUGUGACUUUUAAGAUCUGUGUGGGCAUUUUUUAUAUUGGCAUUUGUACAUCACUAGGAAUUUGUCCUUUUAUGUAGAGGUUCACAUGUAUUUGCAUAUAGUUCAUAAUACC
rnacentral:lncRNA from 1 species